rnacentral:lncRNA from 1 species
AAGAAAUCUGUUUUCAAAUUUUGCAUAUUAUAGGUUUGACAAAAUUUUGCUUUACUUUCUUGAUAUUGUCUCUUGCUUAUUCUUUUCUUCUUCUUUUUGUUGCAGGGAUUAAAGUAGAAGCUUGAGAUUAGAGCUGAGAUCAGAGGAACUUUGAUUUUCCUUCGACUUCUUUUCUUGAAAGAAAUCCGGUGAGCUAUGUUUUCGGCAUUUAUAAUACUACUCCAUCUGAUUGGAUAACUAUAAUUGAAUGGAACAAACCAUAUUAUAAAUAGAUUGUUGGUGCAUGUAUUAUUUAGCGCAUGAUAAUAAUUUUGGUGAUCGAAUAUUGUUGGCUGGGUCAUGGUGGGUUUAUUAAGCUUUUUGUUGCUGGUCAACUAUGGAUCUCUCCAAAUUAACUUUCUUCGCAAACUACAUGUUUAUAUAAAUGCACUCACUCAUCUAUUUUAUGUAUAGUUGUCUUUCUUUUAUGCUCUUAUUUUUUUAUUUAAUUUUUAUUUGUGCUUAUUUUCCAGUUUCCUUUAAUAUGAAGUGUUAUGUUUGUGUGUGUGUGUGUAUUUUUGUCAUUUGUUUGUGAACUGUUCGGAUUCUUUGUCUCGGUUUGUGGCUUUCCUGAAUUUUGGAGUUUCGUUUCCUAAUUCUGUGAUUUUUUGCUAACUAUGCUGAUCUUUUUAUUUGAGAAGUAUGAAUUCACCUAACAGCAAUAAUCGCAUGUGCUUUUUUCUUCAUUAAUCUAAUUCAACCAAAACAAUAGUGGUGUAAUCAACAACUUCUUCCUUCAUUUUUUCUUCAUUAAGUUUAGCUAUUGAUGAAAGAUCAACAUAUCAUUCUUUAAUUUUAAAUGUGAUAUUGUUAUUUAACUCAUUUAUUUGUGUCUGAGGUAACAUGGGACAAGAAGUAAAUAUUGUUUUGAAGAGUACUGAAAUUACUGAAAAAUAUAAUGUAUUGGUAUUUGCUGUGUCCAGUGAUUACUGGAAUUAUUAGGUAACUCAUUUUAUUUUGGCAAAGCUAUUAAAUACACAUGGUUAUGUAGGGAUGAUAUUUUGAAUAGAUGAUUUGUGGUGAUUGCAAGCAUACUGAAAUUGUUGAAUUGCUCAAUUUAAAUAGCUCUUGAAUUAUCUCUUAAAGUGGGAAACUAAUGAUCUUAUAACUAAGAAAUCAUUUGUUUUUUAUUCUUCAUAGUUCCAUACUUACCACUGUUGACCUGUGAUGGAAAUGCAGGCUUAUGUUUAUUGGUUAUUGUUGCGUUUCAUGCAGAUAUCAAGUGAGCUUGGAAGUCCUAAGUUCUUUCUCCCUCCGUAUCUCACUAAUGAGGUUGCUUAAUGCAUUCCAUUAAGAGCCACAUUCGCUAGAUUGCCGUUCAAUACUUUAGAAUGACAUCAAAUAGAAAAAAUGCUACACAACCACAUGAAAUCCUCUUUACAUUGGCAGUAGUUGAUACAUGGUGCAUUAGUGUAAAUAAAUACUGAUUCUCAUCUUCUAUAUUUCUUCCUGAAUUUGAUUUAUCUACUAUACUUGCUAUUUUUCUUUUAACCAUAUGAAUAAAAGUAGAAAAGGAAUAAGAAAGUGGUAAAAGUUUAUUCAUCUUAAACAAGCCGUUUAGAUUUUAUGGAGAUUGCAUCACUUAAUGUUUGUAAAUGAACAUUCAAUAAAAUUUAAUUAACCAUGUUUAUUGAUUUAUAUGUGUCGAUGUGUAUCAUUUUAUUAAAAUUUUCAAUUGACUCAUUCUAUAUUGAAUGUGCU